AGAAAUAUGUCUGAAAAAGAGUUACUUUGAUAGAGUAAAGCAUAGAGGUAACAACCCUCUUAUUUCUA
ensembl:Mt_tRNA